CCUACGGGUGGCAGCAGUGAGGAAUAUUGGUCAAUGGGCGCGAGCCUGAACCAGCCAAGUAGCGUGAAGGAUGACUGCCCUACGGGUUGUAAACUUCUUUUAUAAAGGAAUAAAGUGAGGCACGUGUGCCUUUUUGUAUGUACUUUAUGAAUAAGGAUCGGCUAACUCCGUGACAGCAGCCGCGGUAAUACGGAGGAUCCGAGCGUUAUCCGGAUUUAGUGGGUUUAAAGGGAGCGUAGAUGGGUUGUUAAGUCAGUUGUGAAAGUUUGCGGCUCAACCGUAAGAUUGCAAUUGAUACUGGCAGCCUUGAGUACAGUUGAGGUAAGCGGAAUUCGGGGUGUAGCGGUGAAAUGCGUAGAUAUAACGAAGAACUCCGAUUGCGAAGGCAGCCUACUAAACUGCAACUGACAUUGAUGCGCGAAAGUGUGGGGAUCAAACAGGAUUAGAUACCCGUGUAGUC
rnacentral:rRNA from 1 species